UACCAGCACCCCGAGUGGUCGGGACGAUUAUUGGGCCUAAAGCAUCCGUAGCCGGUUCUGCAAGUCCCCCGUUAAAUCCAGCUGCUCAACAGAUGGGCCGCGGAGGAUACUACAGAGCUAGGAGGCAGGAGAGGCAAGCGGUACUCAGUAGGUAGGGGUAAAAUCCGUUGAUCCAUUGAAGACCACCAGUGGCGAAGGCGGCUUGCCAGAAUGCGCUCGACGGUGAGGGAUGAAAGCUGGGGGAGCAAACCGG
rnacentral:rRNA from 1 species